GAUGAACGCUGGCGGCGUGCCUAAUACAUGCAAGUCGAGCGAACAGACGGGGAGCUUGCUCCUCUGACGUUAGCGGCGGACGGGUGAGUAACACGUGGAUAACCUACCUAUAAGACUGGGAUAACUUCGGGAAACCGGAGCUAAUACCGGAUAAUAUAUUGAACCGCAUGGUUCAAUAGUGAAAGACGGUUUUGCUGUCACUUAUAGAUGGAUCCGCGCCGCAUUAGCUAGUUGGUAAGGUAACGGCUUACCAAGGCAACGAUGCGUAGCCGACCUGAGAGGGUGAUCGGCCACACUGGAACUGAGACACGGUCCAGACUCCUACGGGAGGCAGCAGUAGGGAAUCUUCCGCAAUGGGCGAAAGCUUGACGGAGCAACGCCGCGUGAGUGAUGAAGGUCUUCGGAUCGUAAAACUCUGUUACUAGGGAAGAACAAAUGUGUAAGUAACUAUGCACGUCUUGACGGUACCUAAUCAGAAAGCCACGGCUAACUACGUG
rnacentral:rRNA from 1 species